rnacentral:rRNA from 1 species
AGAAUCAACGCUGGCGGCGUGCCUAACACAUGCAAGUCGAACGAGAAAGGGGAGCAAUCCCUGAGUACAGUGGCGACCGGGUGAGUAACACGUGACUAACCUACCCUCGAGUGUGGAAUAACAUCGGGAAACCGAUGCUAAUACCGCAUAACAUCGCAAGAUCAAAGGAGUAAUCCGCUUGAGGAGGGGGUCGCGGCUGAUUAGCUAGCUGGCGGGUAAUGGCCCACCAAGGCGAAGAUCGGUAUCCGGCCUGAGAGGGCGCACGGACACACUGGAACUGAAACACGGUCCAGACUCCUACGGGAGGCAGCAGUGGGGAAUUUUGCGCAAUGGGGGAAACCCUGACGCAGCAACGCCGCGUGGAGGAUGAAGCCCCUUGGGGCUAAACUCCUUUCGACCAAGACGAUAAUGACGGUACUGGUGGAAGAAGCACCGGCUAACUCUGUGCCAGCAGCCG